UUACUGGCUCUCUCUCUGAAGGCCUCCAGAGGAGGCAAGAUGCUCUUUCCAUCUUCAGUCGAAAUCCCUCCUACUCUUCCUUAGAACCACUAGACCUGGCCCUCUCCUCAGAGGGCACAUAGGAAUCGGAGAAUGCACAAGAGAAGUAGAGAGUAUGUGUUGUUGAAGGCUUUAAUGGCCGGAAUCACAGGGUUGCUGUGAGUUUUCUGGGCUGUAUGGCCAUGUUCCAGAAGCAUUCUCUCCUGACGUUUCGCCAACAUCUGUGGCAGGCAUUCUCAGAGGCUCUGAGGUCUGUUGGAAACUCGGCAAGCAGGGUUUAUAUAUCUGUGGAAUCUCCAGAGUGGAAAAAAGAACUCUUGUCUGUCUGAGGCAAGUGUGAAUGUUGCAAUUAAUCACACUGAUUAGCAUUUAAUGGCCUUGCAGCCAUGGGGGGGCUCCCAUGUCUGGGGGAAUCCUUUGUUCGGAGGUGUUAGCUGACCUUGAUUGUUUCAUAUCUGGAAUUCCCCUGUUUUCAGAGUGAGUUUUUAAAAUACUGGUAGCCAGAUUAUGUUCAUUUUCAUUGUUUUCUCUUUUCUGUUAAAAUUGUCCACAUGCUUGUGGAUUUCAAUGGCUUUUCUUUGUAGCCUGACAUGGUGGUUUUUUACAGUGGCCCAGCAUUUCUGUGUUCUCAAAUAAUAUGCUGUGCCCAGGUUGUUUCAUCAACUGCUCUGCUAUGGCUGACUUCUCUGGUUGAAUUAGUCUACAGUGCCUUUAAUGUUCCUUGAUUUGUGUUUGGGUGCUGCAUUUGAUGAUCCCUAUGUAGACUUGUCCACAGCUGCGUGGUACUCUGUAGACUCCUGCAGAGGUGAGAGGAUCCUUCUUGUCCUUUGCUGAAUGUAGCAUUUGUUGGAUUUUCUUGGUGGGUUUAUAGAUGGUUUGUUUCUUCAUCAGCUUCCCUAUGCGGUCAGUGGUUCAUUUGAUGUAUGGUAAGAACACUUUUCCUCUGGGUGGAUCUUCAUCUUUACUCUCGUGACUUGUUCUUGGCCUUGCAGUUUUUCUGAUGUCUGUGGUGGAUGGGAAUUCCAGACAUGAAACAGUCAGGGCCAGCUAACACCUCCCAACAAAGGGUUCCCGCAGGCAGGCAGGCUUUGAAUCUGCAAGGCCAUUAAAUGCUAAUCAAUGUGAUCAAUUGCAACAUUCACAUUGCCUCAAACAGACAAGAGUUCUUUCUCCCACCCUAGACCUUCCGCAGAUAUAUAAACCUAACUUCCUAGUUUCCAACAACCUCUGAGGAUGCCUGCCAUGGAUGUGGGUGAAAUUUCAGGAGAGAAUGCUUCUGGAACAUGGCCAAACAGCCCAGAAAACUUGCAGCAACCCAGUGAUUCUGGCCAUGAAAGCCUUCGACAACAUACUCUCUUCCUGUUACUUAGAACCACUAGACCUGGCUCUCCCCUCAGAGGGAACAAAUGAAUCUGAGAAUGCACAAAAGAAGUCUAGACUUCCUACAAAAGAGACAAAACUUCAGUUCCUGAGUAUACUAAUAAAGCUAUCAAGAAUUUGGGAAGGCACACUCUUGCAGCACCUACCUCUUUGGGGUAGUUUUGAGGUAUUUAAAGAGAGCAAAUAUGCUGUUCCUCAGCCGCCUUCUCUUCACGAAGGUGAACAUGCCCAGCUCUUUCAGCCAUUCCUUCAGAUGUUUUGCCUCCAUGUCUCAAAUGAGCCUGGUUGCUUUUCUCUCAGGGCUCCAACUUCUCUAUCUUUUCUUAAAAUGAGUUGAUCCAAAACUGAACACAGUCCUCCAGGUGAGGCCUGAUCAACACUAAAUGUGGUAGGACUAUUACUUUCCUCAGAUGGAACCAGGCAGAUUCUCCCAAACAAAAAGAUACCAUGUUGAAGUAUUUCAAUUUAAAGAUAUAAUCAGGAAAAAGAAACACCCAUGCAGAUGUAAUAAAGAAAAUGGAUAGCUCAGCUGAAUGAAGACACAAUUCUAUAAUACCCUCAUUUUCAACAUCAAAGAGAAUUACAGAAAACGGUAACAGAAGGACUGAGCUUACACAGUAAUCUUCUUUUCUCAUAAAAGCACAUUUCAUAAGCAACUAUAUUUAUCUUGCUUUAAAAUGGCACAAAUGAGCAAUGCCAGAGUGACGAGGGGGAACAAAAUAAAGGAGUAAACAUCUGUGUAAAGUUUUAUUUUUAAAGUGAUAUUCUAACCCAAGGCAUAUCCAAUUGAAGCAAAAACAACAUUCAACUUAACAUUUGAAAACGUUGCAUCAAAAUAAGUCCUUAGUCAGCAAAAAUUAUGCUGAAAAAUUAAUAUAGGUUACUGAAUAUAUUGCACAAGAUUUCCCUAGCCUAAAAUGAUACAUUUUAAUAUAUUGGUUUUAUGGUUCCAGUCCCCUUGAUCUUGUCAUGUAAGUGUGAUUUAUUGUUAUAAUUGUAUUAUUUUACUUUGUUCAAUAAUGUGUAUUAUGAUGUUAUGUAAUGUUUGUGUUUGCUUUUAUGACUGUAAACCGCCCUGAGUCCCAUCUGGGAGAUAGGGCGGUAUAUAAAUAAAGUUUUAUUAUUUUA